rnacentral:rRNA from 1 species
UACGGGGGGAGCAAGCGUUGUUCGGAUUUACUGGGCGUAAAGCGCGCGUAGGCGGACCUGCAAGUCGGGGGUGAAAGCCCGAGGCUCAACCUCGGAACUGCCUUCGAUACUGCGGGUCUCGAGUCCGGGAGAGGUGAGUGGAAUUCCUAGUGUAGAGGUGAAAUUCGUAGAUAUUAGGAAGAACACCAGUGGCGAAGGCGGCUCACUGGCUCGGUACUGACGCUGAGGCGCGAAAGCGUGGGGAGCAAACAGG